rnacentral:RNase_P_RNA from 1 species
UGAGUAAGCCAGAUGAUCGCGGGUGCAGUGCCGAAAGGCCGCACACGAGGAAAGUCCGGGCUCCACAGGGCGAAGGUGCCGGGUAAUUCCCGGUGAAGGCGACUUCAAGGAAAGUGCAACAGAGAGAUACCGCAUACCAGAUACUAGAAACCAGAUACCAGAUACCAGAAUAUCAGAAACGCUUCGAAGCAUUUCUAGUCUCUAGUUUCUAGUUUCUAGUAUCUGGUAUGUAAGGGUGGAAAGGUGAGGUAAGAGCUCACCAGCGGCAUGGCGACUUGCCGGUCUAUGUAAACCCCACCUGGAGCAACACCGCAGAGGGACAUUUUGGCGGCCCGCCAGUCCCGGGUAGGUGGCUUGAGCAUUACAGAAAUGUAUUGCCUAGACAGAUGAUCAUCAAAUACAGAACCCGGCUUAUACGACUUACUCAUAUU